rnacentral:rRNA from 1 species
GACGAACGCUGGCGGCGUGCCUAACACAUGCAAGUCGAGCGGGGAAUUACCCAUGAAGUUUUCGGAUGGAAUGAGUGAUUUCUAGCGGCGGACGGGUGAGUAACGCGUGAGCAACCUGCCUAUCACAGGGGAAUAACAGUUAGAAAUGGCUGCUAAUACCGCAUAAGCGCACAGGGCCGCAUGGCCCGGUGUGAAAAACUCCGGUGGUAUAAGAUGGACCCGCGUCUGAUUAGCUGGUUGGUGGGGUAACGGCCCACCAAGGCGACGAUCAGUAGCCGGCCUGAGAGGGUGAACGGCCACAUUGGGACUGAGACACGGCCCAG